GAUGAACGCUGGCGGCGUGCCUAAUACAUGCAAGUCGAGCGAACAGACGAGGAGCUUGCUCCUCUGACGUUAGCGGCGGACGGGUGAGUAACACGUGGAUAACCUACCUAUAAGACUGGGAUAACUUCGGGAAACCGGAGCUAAUACCGGAUAAUAUAUUGAACCGCAUGGUUCAAUAGUGAAAGACGGUUUUGCUGUCACUUAUAGAUGGAUCCGCGCCGCAUUAGCUAGUUGGUAAGGUAACGGCUUACCAAGGCAACGAUGCGUAGCCGACCUGAGAGGGUGAUCGGCCACACUGGAACUGAGACACGGUCCAGACUCCUACGGGAGGCAGCAGUAGGGAAUCUUCCGCAAUGGGCGAAAGCUUGACGGAGCAACGCCGCGUAAGUGAUGAAGGUCUUCGGAUCGUAAAACUCUGUUAUUAGGGAGGAACAAAUGUGUAAGUAACUAUGCACGUCUUGACGGUACCUAAUCAGAAAGCCACGGCUAACUACGUG
rnacentral:rRNA from 1 species